GUGUCUUGAAGAUCAAAUAAAACACGUGACAAUUUCGUCUAAAACAUUAAGAUAAAAUGACAAAUUAACCACUAUGGGUUGAAAAUUAAAACCUUGACGCCACGUGCUCUACAACCAAUUGGCAUUGCAGCUGUAGUUGAAAGAAAGCGACAGGUUUAUUGGCAAUAAUCAAUUCCCUAAAGCAAACCUUUCGUUGAUUGAUGCUUACAACAAACGCCAUCGUAAAGGUAUCCACUAAAUCGGUUAUUUUAUGGCCUACGGACUCGGAUUGGCAUAUCUCUAUGAGAAAACUAAGUACACCCUG